rnacentral:rRNA from 1 species
CGCCAGACUCCUACGGGAGGCAGCAGUGGGGAAUAUUGCACAAUGGGCGAAAGCCUGAUGCAGCAACGCCGCGUGAAGGAAGAAGGCUUUCGGGUUGUAAACUUCUUUUAUUCGGGACGAAGAAAGUGACGGUACCGAAUGAAUAAGCCACGGCUAACUACGUGCCAGCAGCCGCGGUAAUACGUAGGUGGCAAGCGUUAUCCGGAUUUAUUGGGUGUAAAGGGCGUGUAGGCGGGAAUGCAAGUCAGAUGUGAAAACUCAGGGCUCAACCCUGAGCCUGCAUUUGAAACUGUAUUUCUUGAGUGCUGGAGAGGCAAUCGGAAUUCCGUGUGUAGCGGUGAAAUGCGUAGAUAUUAGGAGGAACACCAGUGGCGAAGGCGGCCUGCUGGACGACAACUGACGGUGAGGCGCGAAAGCGUGGGGAGCAAACAGGAUUAGAUACCCGGGUAGC